AAGUGACGUCUGUGAGCCUUAAUGGCGGUUCAGUCAGUUUAGAUUUUGGCUCACCCUUUGUGACUUUGAUUUUGACCGACUUCUCCUCCACGAUUCGCUUGAAUACCUACAGUAUCCUACCCACUUGACUGAUUUGAGUGUAUGACGUAAGCGGGCACAUGCCCGACUUGACCUGGAUUUGUUUCCCUUUGUGGGAUUUCUGUUAGUAAGUGAUUGGCCCAGUGUGUCUCAUAGUUGGGACUCACUAUUAGUCGACCUGACAGCUUCACCCCAAUCACUUAGUAGCUCGUAUGACUUGACAGGGUUGGUGAGUGACUUUAAUGUGUGUCGAUUAAGAUUGCAUGGAUUUUAUUGUAUGUCUUGACUUAGAGAUCCCUGAUUUCUUGGAUGUGAAUUGACUCCUGCCUGUGGCAGAAUUUGACUUGAUCGGUCACCCUGAGUGACCCCUGUGCAUGAUAUCUCACCCAAGCCUGUAUUGCAUCUCAGGAUUGGUGAAUAUAGCUUCGAUUUAUGUAAAAGAGUGAUCGCAUUUACAGUCCACUCUCACUAUCGCGCUAUCAGAUAGCCCAACCACAAACGACCAUACAUUAUGAGGCAGCACAGUAAUUUAGAAAAAC